rnacentral:rRNA from 1 species
GACGAACGCUGGCGGCGUGCUUAACACAUGCAAGUCGAACGGAAAGGCCCUGCUUUUGUGGGGUGCUCGAGUGGCGAACGGGUGAGUAACACGUGAGUAACCUGCCCUUGACCUUGGGAUAACUUCAGGAAACUGGGGCUAAUACCGGAUAGGAGCUCCUACUGCAUGGUGGGGGUUGGAAAGUUUCGGCGGUUGGGGAUGGACUCGCGGCUUAUCAGCUUGUUGGUGGGGUAGUGGCUUACCAAGGCUUUGACGGGUAGCCGGCCUGAGAGGGUGACCGGCCACAUUGGGACUGAGAUACGGCCCAGACUCCUACGGGAGGCAGCAGUGGGGAAUAUUGCACAAUGGGCGGAAGCCUGAUGCAGCAACGCCGCGUGCGGGAUGACGGCCUUCGGGUUGUAAACCGCUUUCGCCUGUGACGAAGCGUGAGUGACGGUAAUGGGUAAAGAAGCACCGGCUAACUACGUG